rnacentral:piRNA from 1 species
UAGGUAGAAACGUCUUUCUAGGGUAGAAGG